GCAAGUCGAACGGCAGCACAGCAGUAGCAAUACUGUGGGUGGCGAGUGGCGGACGGGUGAGGAAUACAUCGGAAUUUGCCCUGUCGUGGGGGAUAACGUAGGGAAACUUACGCUAAUACCGCAUACGACCUAACGGUGAAAGCGGGGGAUCGCAAGACCUCGCGCGGUUGGAGAAGCCGAUGUCAGAUUAGCUAGUUGGCAGGGUAAUGGCCCACCAAGGCGACGAUCUGUAGCUGGUCUGAGAGGAUGAUCAGCCACACUGGGACUGAGACACGGCCCAGACUCCUACGGGAGGCAGCAGUGGGGAAUAUUGGACAAUGGGCGCAAGCCUGAUCCAGCAAUGCCGCGUGUGUGAAGAAGGCCUUCGGGUUGUAAAGCACUUUUAUCUGGAGCGAAAUCUGCAGGGCUAAUACCCAUGCAGUCUGACGGUACCAGAGGAAUAAGCACCGGCUAACUUCGUGCCAGCAGCCGCGGUAAUACGAAGGGUGCAAGCGUUACUCGGAAUUACUGGGCGUAAAGCGUGAGUAGGUGGUUUCUUAAGUCUGCUGUGAAAGCCCCGGGCUCAACCUGGGAAUUGCAGUGGAUACUGGGAAGCUAGAGUGCGGUAGAGGGUAGUGGAAUUCCCGGUGU
rnacentral:rRNA from 1 species